GUGUUGGCAGACCGCAGCUGUGAGAGCGUGAGAGAGGCACCAGGGUGUGAGACAGAGCAAGCACGACCACUGUUGACUGCUACAGGAACUACGAACUUUGCCCUGCUCUGUAAAAGCGGAGGCAAUUUUGUGUUGAAAAUGGUGUGACUGAUCGUCAACGCAUGCAGGUACGUGGCGCGGAAGAUCAGGGCUGCCGGGGGAGGGGAAGUGCAGCCCGAGAAGCCCACGAAGGCUGCAUGUGGCUCAGCGAAAGCACGGAAAGGAGGGGGGGCGGGGGGCAAGCGGCAGACCUCAGGUUCUGGGUUUGAACCUGUACCGAAGGGAGGUGCCCCAGACACACAGGUGGAGCAGUGCGGGUCCUGAGGGUAGCUUGAGGACAACUUACAGAAGAGGGGUGAACAGAGUCCACCAAUCGCCAUGAGAGAGGAGUAGCCUGAACUGAUUCCCCCAGCACAACAGCCCCUCAGUCUGCCCUUGUGUGAGAGAGCAUCUCUUUCAGUGCUUGUUUCCAUGCAUUUAAAACACACAUCAAAAUGCACACGACAUAAUCACUUCCAUUAAUAUUAAAAUACAAUCCUACGCACACAGUCUCCAUCAUCUGUUUCUCUUUCCCUCUUUCUCGCACACUGAUGCAACAUGCAUUCUCUCUCUUCCACACAAACACACACGCACGGACCAUACACCCCCUCUUUCUUGAAAAACGCGAUCACUUCCUCUGCUGGUAUGCCCUCAGCUCUUCCUCAGACUCGUUUUUAUAAGGACCAGACUCACGAUGAGGACUUGCGGCAGCAGGACGAGUGAAGGCCUGGCCAUCAAUUCCCUGCACUGGGAAAUGCCCAGGCCUGAUGACAGCCCGUUGGGUUCUUGCUGUUGGUGCCAUCCUCAUAUAUUUCAUGUUUUUUAAGCAACAUUAAUAAACAAGAUCUUAUCCCAA